AUGAUCUUUUGGAGCUGGAAACACAAAUCAAUCAGCUUCAACAACUUCUUCUACAACAUCAGGAUAAGGUUUUGGAAGCUUCUCUCACUUCUAGGUAUGAAUACUCUUUCCAAGCUUAAUCAAUUCUACAAGCAGCGUAGUAAGAAAACUUGGUCUGUUGCUGGUGAUUGAAAUACUAAGUUUUUUCAUCAGGCUGUUAUUAAGCGUAGAAAGCGAAACAAUAUUUGUUCUAUUAAAGAUGAGAAUGAUAUGCUUCAUUUCAAACCGGAUGCUAUUAUUAAUACUUUUGUCAGCUAUUUUCAUAAUUCUGGCAGACCUUAUCUUUCUACUCAAUGGCCCGCUGGAUCUUUCGAUCCUACUUACUUUCUUCCUGACAAUCAAGAGAUUUUGCAGAUUCUUAAAGAUAUGAAACUCAAUGCUUCUCCAGGGCCAGAUUGAUUUAAUGUGGAAUUUUAUCUGGCUACUUGGGAUUGGAUUGGAGAGGAGGUAACUCAACUUGUCAUCAACUUUUAUCUUACUGGUGUUAUUCCUCCUCAUAUUAAUGACACAAAUAUUGCUCUCAUUCCGAAGAAACUUGUUCCCCAAGUUCCU
rnacentral:rRNA from 1 species